rnacentral:rRNA from 1 species
GAUUCCCUGAGUAACGGCGAGCGAAAGGGGAAAAGUCCAGCGCCAAGUCUUGACGUUUAGGCGUUCAAGAGAUGCGGCGUUAAUGUGUUGGUGCAUCAUGAAUUGUCGUAUGUUUCAAGUUCCUUUGACAGGGACAUCCAGAGCGGGUGCUAGGCCCAUAGAGACGAACGACUGAUUCAUGCAAACCGAUGCAUUCUAGAGUCAGGUUGCUUGAGAGUGCAGCUUAAAGUCGGUGGUAGACUCCAUCCAAGACUAAAUAUGACAGCGAGACCGAUAGCAAACAAGUMCCGUGAGGGAAAGUUGCAAAGCACUUUGAAGAGAGAGUUAAACAGUACGUGAAACCACUGGAAGGCAAACAGAUGGAACCACGAAGUUUGCGCUUCGGUCGAUUCAAUCAACGCUUGCAGCCAACGACRACGGAAAUGGAUCUUUUCGGAGAUUGUUCCUUUGUUUUUUCGGCCRCAAGCUUUGGUGCAUUUCGUGCCGAGGAUGCUAAGCCACGUUCGAUCAGAUGAUUGGGACGGCCGUAAGAUUGGGCUGGAGAAAGGUGCCCGUCAAGUCUUUGAUUUGACGGCGUUAUAGUCUCUGGCCGGAACCGUCGCCUAAUGAACUGAUUGAUAAAAGUUCUCCUUCGGGAGUAUAUAAACUGCGUUUGCCUGUGAUUGCUAAUUGAUGUUUCGAGGCCGGUCUUUACGUGUCUUUGGAUGCGAAAAGCCGUUUCAACAAUGUCAAUUAGUUGUUGCUUGCAUUGCGUGGUGURGAACUGUGGCGCGAGUAGGUCGGUUUCCAUUUGACCCGUCUUGAAACACGGACCAAGGAGCCUAUCAUAUACGCAAGUCGCUCGGUCUUGUACAGGCCAGAGAGGCGAAAUGAAAGUAAAGCUACGAGAUUUCGGUCGCAGUAGCGGCUCGCCUACUUUGUUUAUUGGCAAUCAGGCGAAGCUGGAGCGUAUACGAUGGUACCCGAAAGAUGGUGAACUAUGCCUGGGCAAGACGAAGCCAGAGGAAACUCUGGUGGAGGUCUGUAGCGAUUCUGACGUGCAAAUCGAUCGUCAGACCUGGGUAUAGGGGCGAAAGACUAAUCGAACCAUCUAGUAGCUGGUUCCCUCCGAAGUUUCCCUCAGGAUAGCAGGCGCUUUUUGACUCAGUCUCAUCCGGUAAAGCUAAUGAUUAGAGGUCUUGGGGUUGAAACGACCUCAACCUAUUCUCAAACUUUAAAUGGGUGAGAUGGUUGACUUUCUUGAUUGAAGCCGACCAUUUGGAUGUAUGAGUGCCUAGUGGGCCAUUUUUGGUAAGCAGAACUGGCGCUGUGGGAUGAACCAAACGUCGAGAUAAGGCAUCAAAUGUGUACGCUCAUCAGACCCCAUAAAAGGUGUUGGUUGCUAUAGACAGCAGGACGGUGGCCAUGGAAGUCGGAAUCC